AGGAAUAUUGGUCAAUGGACGAGAGUCUGAACCAGCCAAGUAGCGUGAAGGAUGACUGCCCUACGGGUUGUAAACUUCUUUUAUACGGGAAUAAAGUGAGGCACGUGUGCCUUUUUGUAUGUACCGUAUGAAUAAGGAUCGGCUAACUCCGUGCCAGCAGCCGCGGUAAUACGGAGGAUCCGAGCGUUAUCCGGAUUUAUUGGGUUUAAAGGGAGCGUAGGCGGACGCUUAAGUCAGUUGUGAAAGUUUGCGGCUCAACCGUAAAAUUGCAGUUGAUACUGGGUGUCUUGAGUACAGUAGAGGCAGGCGGAAUUCGUGGUGUAGCGGUGAAAUGCUUAGAUAUCACGAAGAACCCCGAUUGCGAAGGCAGCCUGCUAAACCGCCACUGACGUUGAGGCUCGAAAGUGUGGGUAUCAAACAGGAUUAGAUACCCUGGUAGUCCACACGGUAAACGAUGGAUACUCGCUGUUGGCGAUAGACUGUCAGCGGCUUAGCGAAAGCGUUAAGUAUCCCACCUGGGGAGUACGCCGGCAACGGUGAAACUCAAAGGAAUUGACGGGGGCCCGCACAAGCGGAGGAACAUGUGGUUUAAUUCGAUGAUACGCGAGGAACCUUACCCGGGCUUGAAUUGCAGACGAAUUGCUUGGAAACAGGCAAGCCGCAAGGCGUCUGUGAAGGUGCUGCAUGGUUGUCGUCAGCUCGUGCCGUGAGGUGUCGGCUUAAGUGCCAUAACGAGCGCAACCCUCGUGUCCAGUUACUAGCAGGUUAUGCUGAGGACUCUGGACAGACUGCCAUCGUAAGAUGUGAGGAAGGUGGGGAUGACGUCAAAUCAGCACGGCCCUUACGUCCGGGGCUACACACGUGUUACAAUGGGGGGUACAGCAGGCAGCUACCGGGCGACCGGAUGCCAAUCCCGAAAGCCUCUCUCAGUUCGGACUGGAGUCUGCAACCCGACUCCACGAAGCUGGAUUCGCUAGUAAUCGCGCAUCAGCCACGGCGCGGUGAAUACGUUCCCG
rnacentral:rRNA from 1 species